UGCUAGAUAAGUGGCACAAAUACUUACCUAACAGCCACCCAUGAGGCAUCCUGUCUCAAAAGAUUGGUAAAGUGCGGACUGCCUUAGGAUGUAAGCAUCGUGAGAGGAGCCGGGGAACCCAGACACGAUGCUCAGGAUGUUCAUAUGGCCAUCACACACCACUUGUAUGUUGAGGGAGUGGUAACUCUUCCUGUUUCUAAAAAUGUGCUCCCUGUGGGGGGGAGGGGGUUAAACACCACAUGGAUGCAGUCAAUUGCACCCAACACAUUGGGGAUGCCACUUACCCCUUAAAAAUCCCUCUUCACGACAUUCCACUCGUUUUGAUGUUGUGGGAAUGAGAUGAAAUUCCUGGACAGCGAGCGGAUGGCAUCCAGGACCUGGCCAAGGCACCGUGAAAAGGUGGGCUGUGACACCCCCCCAUAAACCCCCCCGACCCUCUGGAAACUGCCAGUCGCCAAAAAGUGCAGGGAGCACAGCAGGUUGACCAUCCCGGGCACAGCACGGCUUCGGCGAGUCAGUGGUUUCAGGGAAGGCUCAAGCAACUCAUACAGGCUGGAUAUUGCUGCCCUGUUGAGCCUGUACCGCCUGACCUCUUCAUCCUCGCUUAAGCCCUCUAACGUGGCCUUUUGCGAAAAAGCCAAGGUCACAUCACUCGGGAAGGCUGGGGGUGUUGCUGCUCCUCCUCCUCCAAGUCAAGUAACAGCCCAUAAGCAUACUCCAUACUCCAAACACUCAAAAAUUAAAAAUGUGCUCUGCCCAACGCCUCCCCCAAUCAGGUGCUAAAAUACACACACAUUUGCGCGCUAAUUAACGCACUUAACGCUUUAUGUGCUUUUGUGAAUCAUUUGUUCGCAUUCUUUUCAUUUGCUAAUUACCGCAUUGCGAUAAAAUUAACGCAUGCGAUUGCACACGAAUUAGCGCAUGCGAUAUGCAACUAAACGCAUGCGGUAAUACUGUUGUGAAUCACACGCUAAUUGUCGCUUCUUUUUUAAGGCAAAAAAAGUGCGAUAAAACUUAUCGCACUUUAGUGAAUCAACCCUAAUGUCUUUCUCCGAGUUAUGUAAGUAUCUCCAGGUGUCUACUAAUUGACAUUGGUGAAUUUUUAUUUUUAUUUUAUUAAACGCUGAAUAUGGUAUGUAUGUUUGGCCUUUAGAGUUAUCUAUGGUCGGAUUCAAGGCAUGUUUAGGUCUCCUCCCAGGGUUAAUACCCCUUCUGCAAAAGUUUCUAUUUUAUUCAAGAGUUUGGUUAGGUAACCCGCCUGGUUAGUAUUUGGUGAGUAUAAAAAUCCAAUUGUACAUUUGGUGUGGCCUAGUAGACCUUUAACUAUUACGUAUCUCCCUUCUGCAUCUUUUAGUUCUUCCAUUAAUUGGAAGUCUAUUGAUUUAUGCAGUCCCAGUGCUACUCAUUUAACCUUAUUGUCUUGGUCAUUACUAUAAAACCAAGUGGGGUAUUCCCUGAAAUUCUGAAGGUAAAAGUCUGAGCCUUUAAAAUGUGUUUCCUGUAACAUGACUAUAUGUCCCUUGUUCCUUGAUAUUUCCCUUAUAAUUUUGCUUCUUUUCUCUGGCAGGUUUAACCCAUUAACAUUGAGAGAGUGAACAUUGAUCACAUUUGACAUAUUUUACAUGAGUAUAUUCUUAUAUUGACUAGCAGACUAAUGCAGUUACCGUUUGUACUUGGUAAAUUACUCUUUGGUCGGUCAGAAAGAUAGAUGAGAUUAUUAAGGGCUAGAACUAUAUACAUCUAAACAUACAAAAAACAGUUGUAGUAUGGAAGUUUCUUUAUAGUGUUGUUCAUACAUAUGGGGUUAUAUAGAUUGGGACCAAUACAGAACCAAUUUUCGCCAGGAUAAACCUGUCGGUACCCCUGGGGGGGGGAGCAGUACCGAAUGGUAGAAAGACAUAGGUGUUAUAGCUCUGAACUUUAGUUACAUCAGUUAUAAGUUACAUGACAUUUACCAGAAACCUUAUUUUUCAUACUUAUUAAUGCUUAUAUCACCUGUUGUGCUGUAUGAGGUUUAAAGUUCAAGAGUUAAUGGCAUUGUUUUUUUCAAUAGUUUGUUUGAGUUUUUUCCUUUUGUUUUAGGUGUGGUGACCAGGGACCACGAGUCCUUCUUUGGAAGAUCCAGGAUUUGUGGUGCUUGGUUGUAUCUUCUCCAUUCCUCUACAUCGGGUUCCUCUAUGCCGCAGGCUUUGCAGAACUUCGAGAUGUCAUCUGGGCUUGUUAAUUAAGCCAGGAUCUCCUCUUUUACUUCAAAGCGUGUCAGACAGCAUAUAACGUCCCUUGGGUUGUCUAGCCCUUGGCGGGGUGCAACCCCAUCUUGGCCCCUUGCGAUGCCUGCUCCAAUUCUGCCAAAGUGAAGAACUGCUUCAAUAAUUGCUGUGAUUCCGAAGAUUUGUGCUUCCUACCCUCCUCUCCACUUUGUUCUUUUGUUUUAUUGUGUUUUUCCAUUA